AAUAUCCUACGGGGGGCAGCAGUGGGGAAUAUUGCACAAUGGGGGAAACCCUGAUGCAGCGACGCCGCGUGAGUGAAGAAGUAUUUCGGUAUGUAAAGCUCUAUCAGCAGGGAAGAAAAUGACGGUACCUGACUAAGAAGCCCCGGCUAACUACGUGCCAGCAGCCGCGGUAAUACGUAGGGAGCGAGCGUUGUCCGGAUUUACUGGGUGUAAAGGGUGCGUAGGCGGCUUGGCAAGUCAGUAGUGAAAUCCAUGGGCUUAACCCAUGAACUGCUAUUGAAACUGUCGAGCUUGAGUGAAGUAGG
rnacentral:rRNA from 1 species